GAUGAAGAACGCAGCUAAAUGCGAUAAGUAAUGUGAAUUGCAGAAUUCAGUGAAUCAUCGAAUCUUUGAACGCACCUUGCGCCCUUUGGCCAUUCCGAAGGGCAUGCCUGUUUGAGUAUCAUGAACACCUCAACUCUUCAUGGUUUUCCAUGAUGAGCUUGGACUUUGGGGGUCUUGUUGGCCUGUGGGUCGGCUCCUCUCAAAUGAAUCAGCUUGCCGGUUUUUGGUGGGCAUCACAGGUGUGAUAACUAUCUACGCUUGUGGUUUUCCACCAGGGUAACCUUCAGCAGUGGAGGUUCACUGGAGCUUACAAAUGUCUCUCCUCUGUGAGGACAGCCCUUUGAAUGUUUGAUCUCAAAUCAGGUAGGACUACCCGCUGAACUUAAGCAUAUCAAUAAGCGGAGGA
rnacentral:misc_RNA from 1 species